UCUGGAGCAACACCAACAAAGGAAGAUGGACCUUUACUUUCCUACCAGAUGUCAGGAUCAGAAUUGUAACACCAUUACCGAUUGACCAUUAUUAUUCCCAGAUAGUCUCGGGCCAUGGGGACUUCAACUAUAAAUUAAACGGUUUCAAUCUCGCGGAGGACCCGUCAUGCAGUUGCGGGCAUCAAGAGGACUCAGCGAAACACCUGCUUGAGGACUGCCCGGCAGUCGAAAACAACAGACAAAUACUCAGAGCCACGAUGGAGAGAUUGGGGCAUACCUGGCCUUAUGACAACACCGCAUACACUCAAGAAAGCAGAGCAUGGGAAGCUCUCGGAACCUUCGCACGAACAACACUCACCAACAAAGAGAAUAAAAGGGCAGAACAAAGGAGGAUCCUGCUCCAAGAUUAGGAUGAACUCCCCUUCGCGCAGGGCCCGGCUUGCUGGGAUGGGCUUGACGACCCCACGCCGCCUGAGUUAAAAUCACCGACCGGGGGUGGGGAUGGGACUAGGGUCAUUCCGGUCCCAUCCAUAAACCCGUACAGCGGGACCGGGGAGCCCCACUGCCGCAAGGUUAGUGCCCCGGUACUGAGGCCCAACAACAUCUGGGGCCUCUGGAGUAGGACUCGCUGGGGUUGUGGUUCCGCUAGAAACGACCACUAGCCUAAGGCUAAGUCGGAGGUGGAUACUAUUAACAUUGUCCCUAUCUACUAUCUAGCGAAACCACAGCCAAGGGAACGGGCUUGGAAAAAUCUGCGUGGAAAGAAUACCCUGUUGAGCUUGACUCUAAUUCUGGCAAUUGUUCGGAGAACAUGCCGAGGUGUAUCAUACGUGGGGAGACCCGGACCAAGGCGGGCCGGUUUCGGUCGUUCUUCUCCGGGCCCGACC
rnacentral:ncRNA from 1 species